rnacentral:rRNA from 1 species
AUUGAACGCUGGCGGCAGGCCUAACACAUGCAAGUCGAGCGGAGCGGCGGACGGGUGAGUAAUGCCUAGGAAUCUGCCUGGUAGUGGGGGAUAACGUCCGGAAACGGGCGCUAAUACCGCAUACUAUCAGAUGAGCCUUGGUCGGAUUAGCUAGUUGGUGGGGUAAAGGCCUACCAGGGAGACGAUCCGUAACUGGUCUGCGAGGAUGAUCAGUCACACGGGAAAUGAGACCCGGACCAGACUCCUACGGGAGGCAGAAGUGGGGAAUAGUGGACAAGGGGCUAAAGCCUGCUCCAGCCAUGCCGCGUGUGGGAAGAAGGUCUUCGGAUGGUAAAGCACUUUAAGUUGGGAGGCGUUACCAACAGAAUAAGCACCGGCUAACUACGUGCCAGCAGCCGCGGUAAUAC